AAGGAUUUACUAAUUUGUCCUCAGACCACAAAGAGAUGGUUUUACAUCCCUAACUAGCUGCAUAGAAAGCUGGGAGCUGAACCAGCAUGCCAUACUGCCACCUACCUACAGCAGCGCUGGCAGAAGUUCUUCAGCUCAGCCAGCAGACCAGCCGGCAUCUGCCCUGUGCCCGGCGCUGAGCCCGCUCCAGCUGGGAAUGCCCAGAUCCUGGUCUAAUUGAGAAGCUUGUAGCAGGGGAACUUUGAACCCGGCUGCCUGGAAGCUUGGAAGCAACUCAGAUGUCUUCAGUAGGUGAAUGGGUAAAUAAACUGUGGUGCAUCCCAAUAAUGGAAUAUGAUUCAGCAUUAAAAAGAAAAGAGCUGUCAAGCUAUGAAAAGAUAGGGAGGAAAUUUAAAUGCACGUUAUUUGAGUUAAGGAAGACAAUAUGAAAAGGCUACACCCUGCAUGAGUCCAACUCUAUGACACCCUGGUAAAGGCAAAACUGUGGGGACAGUAAAAGAUCAGGGGUUGCCAAGGGUUGGAUGUUGGGGGAGGGAUGAAUAGACAGAACAUAGAGAUUCUUCAGACAGUGAAACUACUCUGUCUGAUACUAUAAUGGUGGAUACGCACUAUUAUACAAUCAUCCAAACCCGUAGAAUGUACAACAGCAAGACGAACCUCCAACUCCUGGGCUCAAGCGAUCCUCUGCCUCAGCCUCCCGAGUACCUGAAACUAUUGGUGCACACGACCACACCUGGUUAAUUUUUCAAAACUUACUGUAGAGGCGGGUCUCACUGUGUUGCCCAGGAUAAUAUCAAACUCCUGGCCUCAAGCCAUCCUCCUGCCUCAACCUCCCAAAGUGCUGGGAUUGCCACCACCCAGGGUCGUCCCUGGUCCUUAGUUGGCAAUAAAGUAUCACUCUUGGCCUAUCAGGUGCAACAUCAGUAUAUCACAGUAUAUCACAGUAAUGCAAGAGGUUUACAAUGCAGGACAUGGGGGCUUAGUGAGGGGACAUGAGAAUCCUCUGCACAUUCUAUUCAAUUUGUCUCAAAAUAAAAUAUAUUCAUUAAAGUAAAACUACUAAUUCUUAUCAACUCACCUCAUAAAAUGGACCGAUGGGAGACUAAGCCAGUAUCCUAUAAGCAGACACAACCAGAAAUUAAGAGUGGUCCCAUGUCAAAGAGGUUUGCCCAAGCAUUGCCGAUACAGGACUGAACAGAAGGCCGUCCUGGCCGUCUCGAAUGUCAAUGUUAGCAAUAGUUAUUUUAUUGUGAUGUUGAACUCAACAUCUAUAAUGCCAUAUUUGUUUCUUCAAUUAUCACAUUUGACCUGUCACAAGCUUAAUAAUAUAUACUCUUUAAAAAGAUAGUUUGUAGAUCAAGAACUCCCAGUUAAGCCUGGUAGAUGAGCUGCCUGUGUUUGUUGCUCUCCCUUCAAGAAAACUGCUAAACUGAUAAGAAUUGAAAAGAUACAAACCCACUUGUCGAAGGGAGAGGAGACCAACAGCAGACAUAAGAUUUCAGAGGAUAUUUGGAGAAUGGAAAGAGCACGGAGCUGACUUAGGAAAGCAUCCCGGGCUGGGCGUGGUGGCUCACACGGGUAAUCCCAGCACUUUGGGAGGCCAAGGCAGGUGGAACCAGCCUGGCCAACAUGGCAAAACCCCGUCUCUACUAAACACACACACACACACACACAAAAUAGCUGGGCGUGGUGGCAGGUGGCAGUGCCUGUAAUCUCAGCUACUGGGGAGGCUGUCGCUGGAGAAUUGCUUGAGCCCGGGAGGUGGACGUUGCAGUGAGCUGAGAUCAUGCCACUGCACUCCUACCUGGGUGACAGAGUGAGACUCCAUCUCUAAAAAA